rnacentral:rRNA from 1 species
UACGGAGGGGGCGAGCGUUAUUCGGAAUUAUUGGGCGUAAAGGGCGCGUAGGCGGCUGAACAAGUCAAAGGUGAAAUCCCUCGGCUCAACUGAGGAACUGCAUUUGUGACUGUAGAGCUGGAGUGCGGCAGAGGGGGAUGGAAUUCCGCGUGUAGCAGUGAAAUGCGUAGAUAUGCGGAGGAACACCGAUGGCGAAGGCAAUCCCCCGGGCCUGCACUGACGCUCAUGCACGAAAGCGUGGGGAGCAAACAGG